UACAGAGGUCUCAACCGUUGUUCGGAUUCAUUGGGCGUAAAGGGUGCGUAGGCGGUCGCGCAAGUCGGAUGUGAAAUCUCAGGGCUCAACCCUGAAACUGCAUUCGAUACUGCGUGGCUAGAGUGCUGGAGAGGAGACUGGAAUUUACGGUGUAGCAGUGAAGUGCGUAGAUAUCGUAAGGAAGACCAGUGGCGAAGGCGAGUCUCUGGACAGCAACUGACGCUGAGGCACGAAGGCCAGGGGAGCAAACGGG
rnacentral:rRNA from 1 species